AUGGACGGGAGCGGUACCAGCGAUGGCGGGGACGGCGGCGGGUCGCUCCGGCCGAUGGACGCGGAGCAGCUGCGGGAGUGCGGGCACCGGAUGGUGGAUUUCAUCGCCGAUUACUACAAAUCCAUGGAGACAUUUCCCGUCCUCAGCCAAGUCCAGCCAGGAUAUCUAAAGGAACUUCUUCCAGAUUCAGCUCCUAACCAACCUGAUACUUUGGAUGCCCUUUUUGACGAUAUUCGUGAGAAGAUGAUACCUGGAGUAACUCAUUGGCAAAGUCCAAGUUAUUUUGCAUACUAUCCCUCAAAUAGCAGCACUGCUGGAUUCCUGGGGGAGAUGCUUAGUGCUGCCUUUAACAUCGUUGGCUUCAGUUGGAUAACCUCUCCUGCUGCAACUGAGCUAGAGGUUAUAGUCUUAGAUUGGUUUGCAAAAAUGCUUAAGCUUCCAAGCCAAUUUCUGUCAGAUGUGCCUGGUGGAGGAGUAAUCCAGGGUACUGCCAGUGAAGCAGUUCUUGUUGUACUAUUGGCUGCACGAGAUAGAACUUUAAAGAAGCAUGGGAAAAAAUCCCUUGAAAAGUUAGUAGUUUAUGCAUCUGAUCAGACACAUUCUGCUCUGCAAAAGGCAUGCCAGAUUGCAGGAAUUUUCCCAGAGAACUUCAGAGUUGUCAAAGCUGACUGUAGUAAGAACUAUGCUGUUGCACCUGAAGCGGUGACAGAGGCCAUUUCCAUUGACUUGUCAUCUGGCUUGAUACCAUUCUUCAUCUGUGCAACAGUAGGCACAACAUCUUCAUCGGCCGUGGACCCCUUGCCUGAACUAGGAAACAUAGCACAGGGCCAUGACAUGUGGUUCCACAUUGAUGCUGCAUAUGCUGGAAGUGCUUGUAUAUGCCCAGAGUAUCGACAUCAUCUUGAUGGAGUGGAAAAAGCUGAUUCAUUCAAUAUGAAUGCACACAAAUGGUUCCUCACAAACUUCGACUGUUCUUUGCUAUGGGUUAAGGACAGGAGUUAUCUUGUGGAAGCAUUGUCUACAAAUCCAGAGUUUCUUAAGAAUAAGGCUUCCCAAGCAAAUUCUGUUGUUGAUUUCAAGGAUUGGCAAAUUCCACUUGGUCGUCGUUUUAGGUGA
rnacentral:rRNA from 1 species